UACGAAGGGGGCAAGCGUUGUUCGGAGUUACUGGGCGUAAAUGGCGCGUCGGCGGUUUUGCAAGUCAGGCGUGAAAGCCCCGGGCUUAACCCGGGAAUAGCGCUUGGGACUGCAAGGCUUAGAGGGUGGAAGAGGUGAGUGGAAUUCCCAGUGUAGAGGUGAAAUUCGUAGAUAUUGGGAAGAACACCGGUGGCGAAGGCGGCUCACUGGUCCACAUCUGACGCUGAGGUGCGAAAGCGUGGGGAGCAAACAGG
rnacentral:rRNA from 1 species